GACGAACGCUGGCGGCGUGCUUAACACAUGCAAGUCGAACGGAUCACAUUGCUUCGGUUUUGUGGUGAGUGGCGAACGGGUGAGUAACACGUGAGUAACCUGCCCCCUUCUUUGGGAUAACGUCGGGAAAUCGGCGCUAAUACUGGAUAUUCUGGUUUCCUCGCAUGGGGUUUCUGGGAAAGGCUUUCUGGUGGGGGAUGGGCUCGCGGCCUAUCAGCUUGUUGGUGGGGUGAUGGCCUACCAAGGCGGUGACGGGUAGCCGGCCUGAGAGGGUGUCCGGCCACACUGGGACUGAGACACGGCCCAGACUCCUACGGGAGGCAGCAGUGGGGAAUAUUGCACAAUGGGCGCAAGCCUGAUGCAGCGACGCCGCGUGAGGGAUGACGGCCUUCGGGUUGUAAACCUCUUUCAGUACAGAACAAGGCCUUCGGGUUGAGGGUAUGUGCAGAAGAAGCGCCGGCUAACUACGUGCCAGCCGCCGCCGUAACAC
rnacentral:rRNA from 1 species